rnacentral:lncRNA from 1 species
GGUGUGGCGUCUCUUUGAACCCCCCCGAUCGUCCGAGCUUCCGGACUUCUCCGACAAUGAGCUUCUCCAUCCAUCUACUGUGCCACUCCAAAGGCUCUCUAGGCCUCACUGUCAGCCAAUCUUCUAUAGUGAUCAACUAUUCUCCGAACUCCUUCCGGACUUCGUCAAUAUCCGAGCUUCUUCGACAACGAGGUUUCUACAGUAAUCGGACUCCAUCCAAGUUUCUACGACGGUCGACCGCCUUAAGGAUUCUAACUGGGCUCCUGUGAGAGCCGAACUUC